AGCUACACAACCUCACAUCACACUCACACACAGCAGACUGACUCACCCCAUCUCAUCUCUCUCUCUCUCUCUCUCUCUCUCUGUAAAACCCUCUCAUCAUCACCGAUCUCCCUCCCUCUGCUGUCCUCCUCUCCCCUCUUCCAUCACAGCCGAUAUCUCUCUUCCUCCGAUCUCGGCGAAAGUGAAUCACCGCUGAUCUCCAUCCGUUUGCUGUCCUCUUCUACCUCCUCUCAUCACCACUAAUCUCUCUCAUCGUUCGAUCUCGGCAAAAGUGAAUCAUCGCCAAUCUCCCUCCUUCCGCUGUCCUCUCCCUCCUCCCAUCACCACCAAUCUCCCUCCUCAUCCGAUCUCGGCGAAAGUGAACUCAAAUCUGCGCAACGAUCGAAGCCAGAACAAGGCAUCGCCGCUAGUGAACAAGAUUGAUGUGAUUUUUUGAUAUAUCCUUCAUUUACAUAUUGAUGUAAUUUACAAGGAAAUGUACAAGUUAAAAGGAAAUAGAUUGGUUGUAAUUACAUUCCCACAACAACCAAUCUAUAGAUUGCUUGUUAAAAGGAAACAUAUUGCUUGUAA